ACGCGGCGGCGUGCCUAAUACAUGCAAGUCGAACGAAACUUUCUUACACCGAAUGCUUGCAUUCACCGUAAGAAGUUGAGUGGCGGACGGGUGAGUAACACGUGGGUAACCUGCCUAAAAGAAGGGGAUAACACUUGGAAACAGGUGCUAAUACCGUAUAUCUCUAAGGAUCGCAUGAUCCUUAGAUGAAAGAUGGUUCUGCUAUCGCUUUUAGAUGGACCCGCGGCGUAUUAACUAGUUGGUGGGGUAACGGCCUACCAAGGUGAUGAUACGUAGCCGAACUGAGAGGUUGAUCGGCCACAUUGGGACUGAGACACGGCCCAAACUCCUACGGGAGGCAGCAGUAGGGAAUCUUCCACAAUGGACGCAAGUCUGAUGGAGCAACGCCGCGUGAGUGAAGAAGGUCUUCGGAUCGUAAAACUCUGUUGUUAGAGAAGAACACGAGUGAGAGUAACUGUUCAUUCGAUGACGGUAUCUAACCAGCAAGUCACGGCUAACUACGUGCCAGCAGCCGCGGUAAUACGUAGGUGGCAAGCGUUGUCCGGAUUUAUUGGGCGUAAAGGGAACGCAGGCGGUCUUUUAAGUCUGAUGUGAAAGCCUUCGGCUUAACCGGAGUAGUGCAUUGGAAACUGGAAGACUUGAGUGCAGAAGAGGAGAGUGGAACUCCAUGUGUAGCGGUGAAAUGCGUAGAUAUAUGGAAGAACACCAGUGGCGAAAGCGGCUCUCUGGUCUGUAACUGACGCUGAGGUUCGAAAGCGUGGGUAGCAACAGAUAGAU
rnacentral:rRNA from 2 species